UACGAAGGGGGGCUAGCGUUGCUCGGAUUCAUUGGGCGUAAAGGGUGCGUAGGCGGCGCGGUAAGUCGGAUGUGAAAUCUCGGAGCUUAACUCCGAAACUGCAUUCGAUACUGCCGUGCUUGAGGACUGGAGAGGAGACUGGAAUUUACGGUGUAGCGGUGAAAUGCGUAGAUAUCGUAAGGAAGACCAGUGGCGAAGGCGGGUCUCUGGACAGUUCCUGACGCUGAGGCACGAAGGCCAGGGGAGCAAACGGG
rnacentral:rRNA from 1 species